rnacentral:lncRNA from 1 species
UUUUUCCGUGGGUUUAGGUGGCUUCCCAGGAGGUGGGUCCCCUUUCUCUUUCACAGCUGCCUCUCAGAAAUGCUAGUCCCAUCCUGAUUCCUUCUCUCUCUCUCUCUCUCUCUUUUUCCUUUGCUCUACCCGGUUGUGUCAAGAGUUUCUUGCCCUUUUUGGAGGUUUAGGUUCUUCUGCCAGCAUCCAGUUGAUGGUCUGUGCGAGUCGUUUUGCAUGGCAAUGUGUUUUUUGAUGUGUUUAUGGGGGAGGUGAUGGCAACCUCUUACUCCUGCGCCAUCUUUCUCUGCCCCAACACAACCUUGCUCAGCCCCAACACAACCUGUUUUACUUUGUUUUCUGCUUUUUUAUUGAAUUGAACUUUUUUUGGAGAUCAAUUUGGAUUCAUGUUAAGGUGUAAGAAAUUAUGGAGAGAAAUACCCUGCCUUCUGACCCCAGUUCCCCCCAAUGGUAACACUCUGCAAAAUUAAACAAAAUCACAACAGGGAUAUUGACUGUGGUAGAGUCACUGGUGGUAUCUUUCCAUCAUUGCAAAGAUUCCUCUAGAUAUAGUUUUAUAGCCAUACCCAGUUAAGGUAUUUUGAUUGCAAGGAAUAAAGUCACCCCAGGAGAUCUUAAGCAAGGGAAAAAAAGAGAUUUUUUGGAUAUCUGCUUUUCUUUGCUCAUCAUCUCCUGUUCUAUUUCUUCUUUUUCAGUCAGGUGACUGCGGUGAAGCUGUCAAUCAUAGACCUUGCUCCUGUUACCAUAGAGAUUGGUCAGGUGACUGAAGGCCAGCCAAUCACAAUUACUGUUCCAGUGCAAAGGGCUGCCCUCACAACAGAUGAAGUCAAAAUCUCAAGACUACGUCUCAUUGGUAUGACACAAGUCACAUGUCUGUUCCCAAACCUCUCACAGUGCUUGGGAGAAAAAUAUGCUGAUUAGCGAGGUCUUAGGGGAAUCUUUCUC